GAUGAAGAACGUAGUGAAAUGCGAUAAGUAAUGUGAAUUGCAGAAUUCAGUGAAUCAUCGAAUCUUUGAACGCACAUUGCGCCCGCCAGUAUUCUGGCGGGCAUGCCUGUCCGAGCGUCAUUUCAACCCUCGAACCCCUCCGGGGGGUCGGCGUUGGGGAUCGGCCCUGCCUCUUGGCGGUGGCCGUCUCCGAAAUACAGUGGCGAUCUCGCCGCAGCCUCUCCUGCGCAGUAGUUUGCACACUCGCAUCGGGAGCGCGGCGCGUCCACAGCCGUUAAACACCCAACUUCUGAAAUGUUGACCUCGGAUCAGGUAGGAAUACCCGCUGAACUUAAGCAUAUCAAAAGCGGAGGA
rnacentral:misc_RNA from 1 species